UACGGAAGGCAGCAGUGGGGAAUAUUGCACAAUGGGCGCAAGCCUGAUGCAGCCAUGCCGCGUGUAUGAAAAAGGCCUUCGGGUUGUAAAGUACUUUCAGUCGUGAGGAAGGUGUUAAGGUUAAUAACCUUAGCAAUUGACGUUAGCGACAGAAGAAGCACCGGCUAACUCCGUGCCAGCAGCCGCGGUAAUACGGAGGGUGCGAGCGUUAAUCGGAAUUACUGGGCGUAAAGGGCACGCAGGCGGUUAAUUAAGUUGGAUGUGAAAUCCCCGGGCUUAACCUGGGAAUGGCAUUCAAGACUGGUUAGCUAGAGUCUUGUAGAGGGGGUUAGAAUUCCAUGUGUAGCGGUGAAAUGCGUAGAGAUGUGGAGGAAUACCGGUGGCGAAGGCGGCCCCUGGACAAAGACUGACGCUCAUGUGCGAAAGCGUGGGGAGCAAACGAGGGAUUAGAUACCCGU
rnacentral:rRNA from 1 species